GAGGAUUAUACCCUGGUAGUCCACGCCGUAAACGAUGUCUACUAGUUGUCGGUUGUCUUGUACGACGGGUAACGCAGCUAACGCGAUAAGUAGGCCGCCUGGGGAGUACGGCCGCAAGGUUAAAACUCAAAUGAAUUGACGGGGGCCCGCACAAGCGGUGGAGCAUGUGGUUUAAUUCGAAGCAACGCGAAGAACCUUACCUGGCCUUGACAUCCUGCGAAUCUCUUGGAGACAAGAGAGUGCCCUCGGGAACGCAGAGACAGGUGCUGCAUGGCGGUCGUCAGCUCGUGCUG
rnacentral:rRNA from 1 species